CUCCCGCCUCUCUGCCGGCGGGCGCCAUUGAACGGAAUCGGGAGAAAAUGCUAACGUUUAGCCGCCGGCCGCCUGCUGCAGAGCAAGGAUCUGAAGGGUGUGUUUCCAUUGUGCAGUAAAGACACUGAUGGAGCGGAAUCGAGAAGAGAGACAUGAGGGGAGAUUAUCUCAUCUUACCACUGAUGGACUGAUGCUGAUUCCGACCCACACGUGGCGAGGGAAGGAUUAGCUUGGGCUCUUGGAACAAUUCUCCAGAGAAAAGCUCUUGAAAGAAGGUAUUAUACUAAACAUCCAGCAAUAUGCUCUUUGUAAGAGUCUUACCGGCGCUUUCCUCCUCGCGUCCCUCGCUCUCUGCCAGUUCCCCGCGGAGGCGCUCAACAGGAAUGCGUGAAGGACAUUUCCUAAUUGGCAUUCCGAGGCACGGAAGCAAAGCAGAGGAGCGCGACGGAUUCACCGGGAAGCCGUUGGCCACGAAAAGGAACGGACGGACGAGCAGACUUUCAUUUUUUUUUUUUGCUACGAGUGUGUGAUGUGCUUUUGAUUGACUGGAGAAUUACUGCCAAACAUAUACGGGGGGUAAACAGAGGGCAAAAGCAGUUUGUUUGUUUGUUUGUUGUUGUUGUUGUGUAGACAUCGGGGGUCCAGGGGUCAGACCGCUGAGGGUGACUUUGACAGCACGCCACAGGGCUCUGGCACAAGACCGAGAGAAGAAAGAAGAAAACGCCACGAGGGAGGGGAAAAGAGAGAAAAGCCGUGAAAAUAAACGCAGACGAGAACAUUUGUGACAAAACAACAAAAAAUAAAUUCAAACAGCUUUUCCUCCAAGGCUCUUUUCUCCAAUCGCCCCUGUCGUAUUCUGCAAAGCUUCGCUGGCCUGUCACAAAAACAAGGUUAGCAGUCUUUUCCCCCCCCGGCUUAGUGGCCCCCUUUCUGUGGCAGAUACAAAAUGUUUUAUCAAACCCUGUUUAUGGAAAUGUCAUGUCUCGCUGCAUAAUAGAGGAGCUAGAGACGGAUGAAAAACAACACCAGAGGCUGACAGGCCGCCAGCGAGGGGAAGUUCCUGCGUUAAAAAUGAGUUCUCAACAAGGGGCUCGGGCAGAAAUGACCGCUCACCUCGGCGUCCCCUCGCGCUUUCACCUUCACCCGCGAGGCCCUGUUUGGGGUUUGGAUCCAUCCAAAAAAAUCAUCCAAAAAAUGUGCCCCAUUUCCAUGAGAGAACCAGAAAAAAAGAAAUGACAGAAAGAAAUGAGAUCUGAUGGCGGAUGUGGGGAACGGGGAGAUGAAACUGUCAAAUAUCUGUGUGAAAAAGCUCUUUAGUUCACUUGCACUAUUUGUAGCGGCAGCCGGCUCGUGCUAGAUUGGAUGCUAACACUGAAUUACACAAGCGAAUUCCUGCAAGUGCUCCGAAUUAACCCAGUUAGCUUUCACAGACUCAACAGUUGCCGUCCCAAUUUCCGAAUGCACCAGAUGUUUGGAUGCUUCGCACCGGGGGACCGGCGAGGACGAGAUCAAACCGGGAAGUUGUCAAUUAUUUGUUGAUUUUCUGAGAAAAUAAUCCAUCUGUCAAAGAAUAAAAGUUUGC
ensembl:lncRNA